rnacentral:rRNA from 1 species
AUGAACGCUGGCGGCGUGCCUAAUACAUGCAAGUCGAGCGAACAGAUGAGGAGCUUGCUCCUCUGACGUUAGCGGCGGACGGGUGAGUAACACGUGGAUAACCUACCUAUAAGACUGGGAUAACUUCGGGAAACCGGAGCUAAUACCGGAUAAUAUAUUGAACCGCAUGGUUCAAUAGUGAAAGACGGUUUUGCUGUCACUUAUAGAUGGAUCCGCGCCGCAUUAGCUAGUUGGUAAGGUAACGGCUUACCAAGGCAACGAUGCGUAGCCGACCUGAGGGGGUGAUCGGCCACACUGGAACUGAGACACGGUCCAGACUCCUACGGGAGGCAGCAGUAGGGAAUCUUCCGCAAUGGGCGAAAGCUUGACGGAGCAACGCCGCGUGAGUGAUGAAGGUCUUCGGAUCGUAAAACUCUGUUAUUAGGGAAGAACAAAUGUGUAAGUAACUAUGCACGUCUUGACGGUACCUAAUCAGAAAGCCACGGCUAACUACGUG